UAUUUGACAAUGGGGGGAACCCUGAUCCAGCGACGCCGCGUGAGUGAAGAAGAAUUUCGGUAUGUAAAGCUCUGUCAGCUGGGAAGAAAGAAAUGACGGUACCUGACCAAGAAGCCCCGGCUAACUACGUGACCGCAGCCGCGGUAAUACGUGGGGGGCAAGCGUUAUCCGGAAUUACUGGGUGUAAAGGGAGCGUAGACGGUUAAGUAAGUCUGGAGUGAAAGGCCGGGGCCCAACCCCGGGACUGCUCUGGAAACUAUUCAACUUGAGUGCAGGAGAGGUAAGCGGAAUUCCUAGUGUAGCGGUGAAAUGCGUAGAUAUUAGGAGGAACACCAGUGGCGAAGGCGGCUUACUGGACUGUAACUGACGUUGAGGCUCGAAAGCGUGGGGAGCAAACAGG
rnacentral:rRNA from 1 species